ensembl:lncRNA
UCCCAGCAGAAGGACAACAGAAUUCUUACAGUGGGUUGGCCUACAGCUCCCCAGCUGUAGGAGCGAGCACUGUGCUUUGGUUAAUGUGACAGGCGUCCCAUAAAUCAUCUGUGCUUAUCAGAGCCCCUGUUGACCAUCUGCUGUUGAACUUCAGCUCUCCCUGCCUGCCUGGAUGCUUCUGUCCAUUCUGGCCACUAUGCUGUUGGGGCUUUGCUCACUGGGUCCUAUGCAGGGGCUCAGAAACUGCACUGCAUUGGAGUCAAGCAAGCUGGCUGAGUCCAGCCUCCACCCUUGGGGAGGGAGCCUGCCUGUUGGCAGCAGCGCUGCUACCCAGCUCCAAAGAACUGACGUCCUGGGGAAGCCCCAGGAGGUCAGCCCUAAGAGGACCAGGCUUGUGCCUUGGCCUUGUCUCCUGCUUCAGAUCCCGCCUUAAGCGCCUGGAAACAGC